rnacentral:sRNA from 1 species
UCACCGUGUCUUUUCUGUCUCUGGUUCCUCUGUCAGAAGCACGAAGCGCAGACACUUGGAGGUUGCGAGCUAGCUUCCUGGCUUUGGAUAGCCUCAGGGAGCCAAGGAUGGCCACUGUUGAGUUGUUGUCUUUCCAGUUCUGCCGAAGGAGACAUUGCCACUGAGAAAACAUCAUCUGUUCUGUCUGUCUGACCUCUUCCAGGUUGUGUUCUUCUGGAGACUCUGACUUAUGCUGGGUGUAAUAAUCAUCAACAGCUUGAAUAGGAAGAUUCAUUUGGAGAG